AGCUUUGCACAGUGGCAGUAUCGUAGCCAAUGAGGUUUAUCCGAGGCGCGAUUAUUGCUAAUUGAAACUACUUGAUCUUACAAUUACUGUUGGAAUACAGACCAUGUAUGGAUAAAUCUUAAGUUU
ensembl:snRNA U4 U4 spliceosomal RNA